AGGUAGGAAUACCCGCUGAACUUAAGCAUAUCAAUAAA
rnacentral:rRNA from 1 species